UUGCUUCUUAUGAAAGUGGCGCACGGGUGCGUAACGCGUAUGCAACCUACCUUAAUCAGGGGGAUAGCCCGAAGAAAUUCGGAUUAAGACCGCAUAAAAACACAGGAUAGCAUUAUCCAAUGUUCAAAUAUUUAUAGGAUUAAGAUGGGCAUGCGUGUCAUUAGCUAGUUGGCGGGGUAACGGCCCACCAAGGCGACGAUGACUAGGGGAUCUGAGAGGAUGACCCCCCACACUGGUACUGAGACACGGACCAGACUCCUACGGGAGGCAGCAGUAAGGAAUAUUGGUCAAUGGAGGGAACUCUGAACCAGCCAUGCCGCGUGCAGGAAGACAGCCCUCUGGGUCGUAAACUGCUUUUAUUCGGGAAUAAACCUACUUACGUGUAAGUAGCUGAAUGUACCGAAGGAAUAAGGAUCGGCUAACUCCGUGCCAGCAGCCGCGGUAAUACGGAGGAUCCAAGCGUUAUCCGGAUUUAUUGGGUUUAAAGGGUGCGUAGGCGGCUUAUUAAGUCAGGGGUGAAAGACGGUGGCUCAACCAUCGCAGUGCCCUUGAUACUGAUGAGCUUGAAUACACUAGAGGUAGGCGGAAUGUGACAAGUAGCGGUGAAAUGCAUAGAUAUGUCACAGAACACCGAUUGCGAAGGCAGCUUACUAUGGUGUUAUUGACGCUGAGGCACGAAAGCGUGGGGAUCAAACAGGAUUAGAUACCCUGGUAGUCCACGCCCUAAACGAUGAAUACUCGCUGUUAGCGAUAUACAGUUAGCGGCUAAGCGAAAGCGUUAAGUAUUCCACCUGGGGAGUACGCCCGCAAGGGUGAAACUCAAAGGAAUUGACGGGGGCCCGCACAAGCGGAGGAGCAUGUGGUUUAAUUCGAUGAUACGCGAGGAACCUUACCCGGGCUUGAAAGUUAGUGAAUGAUCUAGAGAUAGAUCAGUGAGCAAUCACACGAAACUAGGUGCUGCAUGGCUGUCGUCAGCUCGUGCCGUGAGGUGUUGGGUUAAGUCCCGCAACGAGCGCAACCCCUAUGUUUAGUUGCCAGCACGUUAAGGUGGGGACUCUAAACAGACUGCCUGUGCAAACAGAGAGGAAGGAGGGGACGACGUCAAGUCAUCAUGGCCCUUACGUCCGGGGCUACACACGUGCUACAAUGGAUGGUACAGAGGGCAGCAAGCUGGCAACAGCAAGCAAAUCUCAAAAAGCCAUUCACAGUUCGGAUAGAGGUCUGCAACUCGACCUCUUGAAGUUGGAUUCGCUAGUAAUCGCGUAUCAGCAAUGACGCGGUGAAUACGUUCCCGGGCCUUGUACACACCGCCCGUCAAGCCAUGGAAGUUGGGGGUACCUAAAG
rnacentral:rRNA from 1 species